GGGAUAGCCCAGGGAAACCUGGAUUAAUACCGGAGUGAGACGGGACCCGCGAUGGCGGGAUCCGGGAAAGGCGCUGCGGCGCCGCCGGGGGAUGAGUCUGCGUCCCAUUAGCUAGACGGCGGGGUAACGGCCCACCGUGGCGACGAUGGGUAGCCGGCCUGAGAGGGUGGACGGCCACAUUGGAACUGAGACACGGUCCAGACUCCUACGGGAGGCAGCAGCUAAGAAUCUUCCGCAAUGGGCGAAGGCCUGACGGAGCGACGCCCGCGUGAACGAAGAAGGCCGUGAGGUUGUAAAGUUCUUUUCGGGAGGGGGAACAACCGUGGCAGGGAAUGGCCGCGGGAUGACGUGAAUCCCGGAAUAAGCCCCGGCUAACUACGUGCCAGCAGCCGC
rnacentral:rRNA from 1 species